AUUGAACGCUGGCGGCAGGCCUAACACAUGCAAGUCGAGCGAGCGGCGGACGGGUGAGUAAUGUAUGGGGACUGCCCGAUAGAGGGGGAUCACUACUGCAAACGGUGGCUAAUACCGCAUACUGUCGGAUAUCCCAUAUGGGAUUAGCUAGUAGGUAAGGUAAUGGCUUACCUAGGCGACGCUCCCUAGCUGGUCUGAGAGGAUAAUCAGCCACGCUGGGACUGAGACACGGCCCAGACUCCUACGGAGGCAGCAGUGUGGAAUAUUGCACAAUGGGCGCGAGCCUGAUGCAGCCAUGCCGCGUGUAUGAAGAAGGCCCUUGGGUUUUAAAGUACUUUCAGUCAAGAGGCGUUACCGACAGAAGGAGCACCGGCUGACUCCGUGCCAGCAGCCGCGGUAAUAC
rnacentral:rRNA from 1 species